rnacentral:rRNA from 1 species
CAGUAGCCGCGGUAAUACAGAGGGUGCAAGCGUUAAUCGGAAUUACUGGGCGUAAAGCGCGCGUAGGUGGUUUGUUAAGUUGGAUGUGAAAGCCCCGGGCUCAACCUGGGAACUGCAUCCAAAACUGGCAAGCUAGAGUACGGUAGAGGGUGGUGGAAUUUCCUGUGUAUCGGUGAAAUGCGUAGAUAUAGGAAGGAACACCAGUGGCGAAGGCGACCACCUGGACUGAUACUGACACUGAGGUGCGAAAGCGUGGGGAGCAAACAGGAUUAGAUACCCGAGUAGUCCCUGUCUCUUAUAC